UUCAUGGAGAGUUUGAUCCUGGCUCAGGACGAACGCUGGCGGCGUGCCUAAUACAUGCAAGUCGAGCGGACCGUCG
rnacentral:rRNA from 1 species